rnacentral:SRP_RNA from 1 species
GUCGGGCGUGGUGGUGGGCACCUGUAGUCCCAGUUGCUGGGGAGGCUGAGGCAGGAGAAUGGCAUUAACCUGGAAGGCAGAGCUUGCAGUCAGCCGAGAUUGUGCCACUGCGCUCCAGGCUAGGCGACAGAGGGAGACUCUGUCUCAAAANNNNNNNNNNUUUUGAGACAGAGUCUCCCUCUGUCGCCUAGCCUGGAGCGCAGUGGCACAAUCUCGGCUGACUGCAAGCUCUGCCUUCCAGGUUAAUGCCAUUCUCCUGCCUCAG